ensembl:lncRNA
AUGGAGUUGCCCCAGCUGGCAGACAGGACCUUUAUCCAUAGUGAGACAAGAGGAUUCCCCUCUGUGGACUCCCCACCACUGUGCCCUAAGAUUGGUGCUGUGUGCACAGCCCAGGCAGAGGAGCCAGGAGAGAUGCCAGCAGGCAGGGGGCUGCUGCCCCAGGAGCACAUUCCAGCAUCUGGAAACAUCUCCCACUGCAUCUGCAGGAAGCGCCUGGAAGAGGAGGAGGAGGAGGAGAAAAAGGAGGAGGAGGAGGAAGAGGAGGAGGAGAAAAAAGAGGAGGAGGAGGAGAAAGAGGAGGAGGAGAAAGAGGAGGAGGAAGAGGAGGAGGAGGAGAAAGAGGAGGAGGAAGAGGAUAAGGAGGAGGAGGAAGAGAAGGAGGAAAAAGAGGAGGAGGAGGAGGAAAAAGAGGAGGAGGAAAAAGGAGGAAGAGGAGGAGGAGGAAAAAGAGGAGGAGGAAAAAGGAGGAAGAGGAGGAGGAGGAGGAGAAAGAGGUGGAGGAAGAGGAGGAGGAGGAAGAGGAGGAGGAGGAGGAAGAGGAGGAGGGGGAGGAAGAGGAGGAGGGGGAGGAAGAGGAGGAAGACGAGGAGGAGGAAGAGGAGGAGGAGGAAGACGAGGAGGAGGAGGAAGACAGGAAGAGGAGGAGGAGGAAGACAGGAAGAGGAAGAGGAGGAGAAAGAGGAGGAGGAAGAGGAGGAGGAGGAGGAAGAGGAGGAGGGGGAGGAAGAGGAGGAAGACGAGGAGGAGGAAGAGGAGGAGGAGGAAGACGAGGAGGAGGAGGAAGACAGGAAGAGGAGGAGGAGGAAGACAGGAAGAGGAAGAGGAGGAGAAAGAGGAGGAGGAAGAGGAGGAGGAGGAGGAAGACAGGAAGAGGAGGAGGAGGAGGAAGAGGAGGAGGAGGAGGCAGAGGAGGAGGAAGAGGAGGAGGAGGAGAAAAAGGAGGAGGAAGAGGAGGAGGAGGAGGAAGAGGAGGAGGAGGAGGCGGAGGAGGAGGAAGAGGAGGGGGAGGCCGUGCCCACACUCAUGGCACACGCCACCAUGGAGCUUUCAGUCUGGGUCUAA